UAGAUUGCUGUGAGAAGGAGCCAUGUAACAACUGGCUGGCAGUGGAUAGAGGAAGAAAAAACAUCAUCAAGUUGUUGUGAUAGGAGUGGAUGAAUAGUGACCAACAUGACACCUGGAAAUCAGUAUCUAUGGAAUCCUGUAGAAGAUACCUGAAAUAUGCUUACAUUCACAAACCAGUACAACCUAAACUUGCUGGUCAGUAUCAUGUGGUCAAAGGAUCUGUCACUGGCAAUAUGCGGUACAUGAUCAAAGUUUACUUCUGCUGCAAAGAAUUGAAGAACGGUACUGUAAUUUUAAUUGAUGUAUGGCAUGUAAAACAUUGCUUUGCUUUCUGCUACAUGUGUGUUAUAACCAAAAGGUUAUAAUUUUAUUGUCAAAAUUAAAUGUAAUUCAGACUUAUGUACAGC
ensembl:lncRNA novel transcript